rnacentral:rRNA from 1 species
AUUGAACGCUGGCGGCAUGCCUUACACAUGCAAGUCGAACGGUAGCGGGCCUUCGGGUGCCGACGAGUGGCGAACGGGUGAGUAAUGUAUCGGAACGUACCUUUCAGUGGGGGAUAACGUAGCGAAAGUUGCGCUAAUACCGCAUAUUCUGUGAGCAGGAAAGCAGGGGAUCGCAAGACCUUGCGCUGAUUGAGCGGCCGAUAUCAGAUUAGCUAGUUGGUGAGGUAAAGGCUCACCAAGGCGACGAUCUGUAGCGGGUCUGAGAGGAUGAUCCGCCGCACUGGAACUGAGACACGGUCCAGACUCCUACGGGAGGCAGCAGUGGGGAAUUUUGGACAAUGGGGGCAACCCUGAUCCAACCAGGCCGAGUGAGUGAAGAAGGCCUUCGGGUUGUAAAGCUCUUUCGGCCGGGAAGAAAUCGUAUCAGCUAAUACCUGGUGCGGAUGACGGUACCGGCAUAAGAAGCACCGGCUAACUACGUGCCAGCCGCCGCGGUAAAAC